UCUAUCUCCCUAACAGGUGGUAAACCUGGCAACUCGUCUGGGAACACAUCUAAAAACUCAUUGACCACUGGCACUGCGGCGGGCUCUCUAAUCUGACUGUCUAGCUCUCUCACAUGAGCCAAAUACCCCUGACAUCCCCUCCUAAGCAACCUACGAGCCUGAAGAGAUGAGAUCAAACCUCUAGGUGUACCCCUCCUGUCUCCUCUGAAGACGACCUCUGAUCCAUCCUGA
rnacentral:lncRNA from 1 species